CACUUACUCCCUCAGUCCGGAAAUACUUGUCAUCAAAAUGAAUAAAAGAGGAUGUAUUAGAUGUAUUUUAGUUCUACAUACAUCUUUUUUGUCCAUUUUGAUGACAAGUAUUUUCGGCCUGAGGGAGUACAUG
rfam:Triticum aestivum genome assembly, contig: Triticum_aestivum_CS42_TGACv1_scaffold_147351_2BS